UACGUAGGGUGCAAGCGUUGUCCGGAAUUAUUGGGCGUAAAGAGCUCGUAGGCGGUUCGUCGCGUCGGCUGUGAAAACCUGAGGCUCAACCUCAGGCCUGCAGUCGAUACGGGCGGACUUGAGUACUGCAGGGGAGACUGGAAUUCCUGGUGUAGCGGUGAAAUGCGCAGAUAUCAGGAGGAACACCGGUGGCGAAGGCGGGUCUCUGGGCAGUAACUGACGCUGAGGAGCGAAAGCGCGGGGAGCGAACAGG
rnacentral:rRNA from 1 species